rnacentral:lncRNA from 1 species
UUUUUCUUAAAGUCCGCAGGAAAAAAAGAGUCUGGGGUAGAGGUUUGGAGAGGAGAAAAAAAAAAAAAAAACGAAGGGGUUUUCUAAAAUGGAGGUGGAGAAAUUCUGGUAAAGAGGGCUGGUCAUUUUAUCAACUGUAGGAGGGAAGCAUAUUCAGGUAUGAUCAUGACAGAUUCAUUGUUAUUCUUCAAUAUCAUGGAGUUCUUCCUUUUCUCUUGCCAUCUAUGGGUAUCAUUGCUAUGGUCUGAAUGUGGAUAUCUUGCACGUUUGAUUUCUGUUGAUCUUUGAGAUGACAUGGUUUUCUUGCUAUUGUCCUAUCUGCUAUUCUUUUUUUUUUUUAUGAUAGAAAGCAACCUGAUUUUGUUUCAUCCUACUGUGAAAUAUCUGAGAACCAUGUCUUUGAUUCUUAUCUGAACCUAUGAUAUCUCUCACUUGCUUUGGAAGCCCAUUGACAACCCAUGGAAUGGGGCUGCAUUUAAUGGAAUCUUUUGGCCCGUUUAUUUUUACUUUGUUGUUGUUGCUAUCCCCUUAUGCAACUUCUCUACUUCUAAACCCAUUUUUGGGCCCGUGAGGCUGGAACUCCCGUCACUCUGAUACUUGAAAAUUGAUUUAGGUGGCUGAGACCACCCUCUUCGUUGCCAUCUUCACUUGGGUCUAUCAAUGGUUUUAUUCAAUCUUCACCAUUCUGUGUAGUUGCAAUUGAAAUAUCUUUCACCAUGAAAUAAUGGCCAUGUUCGCUGAAUAUUCUGGAAAUUCAAGUGGAUAGUUGCUGAAAUUGUAAUCAAACCACACUGAAAUUCAAUGAAAUUGGAACACAUUGAUAUAUGAAUGUAUUGAUUUAAUGUGGCUGGUUGUGAUCAUGAUAACAAUCUGUGUAUUUUUUUAUUUUAAUGUUUAAAGUGGAUGGAAAUUUAGUAUAGUGGCAUAGGUAAAUAUAAGUGACUGAAAAAUUCAAAGGUGUGCAUGUGAAGAUCCCAUGGUUGUUGAAGUAAUAUUCUUGACCGAAUUAAAGAGGUUGCGUGGCUGAAAGUUGGUGUUGUUGAUGAAGAAUUCAAUGGCCAAAAAUUUAUGGUGAAAAUGUAAUGAAGGAAAGACGAAUCCCGGUGACUGCAGGUACAUGAAUUUGGAGUCUGGUUCUGUUAUAAAUAAUAGGAAAUUCUGAUGGUCAGGCAACGCUAUGUUUGUGGCUGCAUAUGCGUAAGCUCACGGCUAAAAUUCAGGUGGAGGUACACUAAGGUUUUACAUAAUGUAAUCUGCUCAAAUUUCAAGGAUUGAAUAUGGAGAUUUUAAGGAUGAAAUUCAUGCCGCAUUGGUGAGUUUUAAUGGAGGAAGUGGCAGCAUGUGUGAAUUUUGUGGUCUAAAAUCAAUGGAGUAAGGUUUUGGUGGAUAGAUAAGGACAUAAGGUUGCAUAGGUGUGCUGAAUCUCCGGGCUGAACUUGUGGAUGUGGAUAGAAACUUUCUCAUGGCUGAAAAUUCAUAGUGAAAUGUGCUGAAAAUUUGGUGAAGGACCAUUUAUAAACGAGCUGGAAGUUAUGGCUGAAAGUUUGCUUUAAUUCAAAAUGGAAAUAUACUUGAGUUUUAAUAAAUUUGAGGUUUGCAUAGAAGAAAGUUGAUAGCUGAAAUUCUAUUGAAAUUAUCCAUGAUUUAGGUAUGGCCUUAAUGAAGAGUGAGGCUGAUUUUUUAAUGGUUGAAUAUGCAGCCACUAACGAAGCUUUGUGCAAGCCGACCAUGACAAAGUUAAUGACUAUUUGUAUGAGUGGCUGAAAUUUGAUUGCGUAUGUGAUUGUGGCUAGCGACCAUGUGUGUUAGUAUUUUAGAUUUUAGAUAUCAAAUAAGUUAGUGCGAUCAAUAUGUGAUGAUUUCUUCAAAAUGUACGUAGAUAAAUAUAAUGGUUGAUUUUUUUUAAGGUAAAAUUUGUGUAGAAGGUUAAUUAAAAUUAGAUUUUUUAACACUUAGGUUUUAGCUUUUUUUUUUUAAUGUUAAUAGGAAAGUUAGUAUUUUUUUUUAAAAUAUUAUUUUUAAUGUAAAUAAACGUUGGAGAUUUAAAAAUUUUAGUUUUCAAUAGUAAUGAAAGAAUUGAAUUUUGCUUAUUUUUAGUUUUAGAUAUUAUUUUAAUAUAGAUAAAAGUUAGAGCAAUUAAAAUUUUAGUUUUAGUUAAAUUUCUUAUGAGAAUGAAAAGUUGGAGUCUUUAAAUCUUUAGUUUAAUUGGGUGAUUAAAGCUAAAGUUAUUUUUACUAGAUUAAUUAGUCAUAUGGUAAAAUGCCUUUUCUAAAUUAGUUUUAAUUUAAUUUAUUUCAUUUAGUUGAUUAGAGUAUUUUAGGUUUUUUUAAAGUUCAUUAAGUUUUUUUUAGCUGUAUGGUAAAAAAAAAAAUGUUUUUUUCUAGUUCACUAUUUCACUAGGUCAUUGUUAAUAAUUCUCAGCGUUAAACAUUUUAUUAUGGUCAUGCAUGGCCACCUUUGGCAUGCGAGUCCCACCAACUACGUACCAUCCUUCUCUUUUAUUUAUUUAUUUAAUUUUUUUUUUUAUUCUCGCGUGUCAAAAUAUAAUUUUCAAAACUCCUAUCUUCACGUUUCGACUUUCAAAAAUAAUUUUCCAAAAUUCCAAUUUUCCAAAAAUUUCUAUUUUCAAAAUAAUCUUCCAAAAUUUCAUUUUUUAAGUUUAAUUUUUUAAAAUUCCAUUCUCAAAGUCCCCAUUUUCCAAAUUCCCAAUUUUCCAAAAUUCCAUUUAUCAAAAUAAUCCUUCCAAAUUUUCAAUUUUUUUUAAAAUUUAAUUUUUCAAAAUUCCAUUCUCGAAAUUCCCAUUUUCCAAAAUUCAAAAUUUAUUUAUUUAUUCAUUUUUAUUUUAUUUUAUUUUAAAUUAUUUUUUAUUUAUUUGUUUUGAAAAUACCAUUCUCAAAGAGAUUUCCAAACUUUUUUUAAAUUCCACUUCCGAAAUUUCAAAUCUAAUUUUCAAAAUUCCUCUUUUCAAAUUUUUUUUAUAUAAAAGUGAAUAAGUUUUCAUAAUUCUAAAAUGAUGGAAUUUAUGAGAAUUAAUUCAUAGCGAAAAUUAAUUGGGCUUUGGUGGGGGCCCGACAUUCAUAACAUUUUUUUCGAAAAUAAUUCAAGUAAGUUAUGCUCUCCAUUUUGUUUGAUUUUGAUUUGGUUUUGUUUGAGAUUUUUUACACUUGUCAUUGUACACUAACCUUAUUUUCAUGACAGCGCUUUAUUACCUAUUACUAAGGUACACUCUCACUCUCACUUCGUUUAUCAUUUCGUCAUCAUGACUUAUUUUUGAACUAUGAUCAUUUUGGUAUCCAUUGAUCUUCUAGUUAAUUGCCAUGUCUGGUUCACCUUAUUUAGUAGAGACCCAUUUUUUAGGGGCUUAAAGGGGUGCUAUGGUCUUUACCGUACCUUCCCAAUAAGUAACCUGAUCCCCGAACCCAGACUCAGGUUUUUCGCAGACAGCUUUUCCAAAAACAAAAUCAGGAGUCCAUUUAGGGGUUUUGUUCUUACUUGUUUUCCCCUUUAAAAAUAAAUAAAAGUAAGUGGCGACUCCAAGUCUUUUCUAAGAAACAUAUUUUUCACCAAAUAAAUGAAAAGCGAGUCUCGCCGAUCGAGUGGGAACGCAUCAUUAAAAAUACGGGGUCCACACAAGUAUAAUAAAAAAUGAUGUCUAUAUAUUAAUAUGAGAAAGUACAAUAUGAGAUAUCAUCAAGUAAUACAUCCAAUCCCAUAAUAUAAAGCAUCAAAACAAGGAACAAUCUCCACUAAUAUAAUAUGUAAAUACAAUAAGAUAAAGAAAUGUCCUAUGAUCAAGUAGUGGGAGCCUCAGGUGGAGAUGAUGCAUCCUCAGGUAUAGUUGUGACUGUGUCAAUUGUCUGAGGCUUAUCCUGAGGAUCAACUGAAGCAAUGGCAUCUGUGGUGGCCUCCUGAGGUGGCGGGAUCUGGACCUCUACUGUGGUAGUGUCCUCAGCUGGAAUAGUAUCCUUAGCUGUAGCUAAAGGCUUUGAUGAUGUAGGAAGGUUAGGCUGAGGUGGAAGUAGAAGACCCAGGUGCUGCUGGAUCUAGCGAAGUAUAGCAGUCUGCUGGUUCUGCUGGGAACGCAUCUUAGCCAUCUGUUGGAAGAGAGCGGUGUGUGUGGUGGAUAGUGUCUGCAAGGUAGGUACAAGGCCGCGAAACUUCAAAGCAGAGAUGGUGAUGGAAGGCUUGGAUGUAGUAGGAGCAACAGAUGGAACAGUAGGAGUCAUAGGGGGAGCAGCAGAAACAGCCUCAGGCAUGGGCACUGGUGGUGCUGAAGUAGGUGAUGCAGGGGCAGGUCGUUUAGUCUCUGUCGGAAGCUCUCCCCGCGUUGUAGGUACUGGAGUAGAUUGUGCAUGCUCCGUCUGCAGGGGCUUUGGAGGUGCUACCAUGAGAUGGGCUCCUGGAGGUGCAAAAUAGCCCGCCAACUGAUUCCAUUUGUCAAGAGUGAAUUGCUCUCAACAAAUACGACGACGUUCUUGCUGAGGCUCAGUAGGAAAACCCAUAUGCUCCAAGAUUUGGCAAAGCAACCUCGGGAAUAGCAAUGGAAUGGUGUCCGCCCUCUAAAGCUUUUUCCUAUGGACCUUCUCCUCAAAGUGGACGAGGGAGGCCACGAUUAAGUGGUGUGGGCCAAAGUAGAAGCCCUUUGAUAUGCGGAACAAAGCAUCCAAGAUAGCUCAUCGCCUCUGUACUGAAUGUUGUAGGGGAAAGAGGUUGGAGCGUAGCACCACAUCUACGAGGAGCAUCCCAGGUGGAAGCUCCUUUUGAAGAAUGAUCGAAUCUGUAGAGGUCCUCCUGGAUAAAAUGCGGACCAUGUCCUUCUGAGAUACUGGGGAGACCACCGGCGGAAAGCAGAUGGAUCAAGUGGCUCGAAAGGAAUAUGUAGAGCCUCUGCAAUAUCUCUGACCUCAAGGAUACCAUGACGUCCAUCAAUGGUGAAGUGAAUCGAGGUCGGACUCGGGACGCCACGAGUAGUCAUGGAUUGUUAAAUGUCUAAUGCUAAUCUGGGAUAAAAAAACUCACAAGGAGUCAUAAGCUGCUUAAGAUAGUACCUCUGUAGUAGGCUAUAAGAGUCUCGGAGCUCAGGCUUCUAUCGGAAGGCCUCCUAAUCAAAAUAGAACUUCGAGUGGAAAGGUCUUGAUCUGUAAUCUGAGUUGCCCUCAAUGGGAGGUGCUGUGAGCAUCGGGCGUCUGAUAAUAGACCCCGGUGACAUGUCGAAAGGAAGCUCAGAAUCUACAGGAGCUCGACCAUGUGUAGCAACAGGAGGCUCAAGCUGUGAAGCUCUAGAUGACUCGCCUGAGCCUAAAGUCUUGGCCUUCUUGGUAGGAGGGCACCGCACUGAACUCUAAGGGCGCGAAGCAGUCGCCCCUUGUGUAGUAGCUGGUCUCCUAGUCUCAUACCUGCGCUGAAAAGCAAAAAAUGAAGGACUAAUGAGCGAUCCACCAUCAGAAGGGGGAAUCUGCGAGGCCUCUAUGGUGGCCUCCUGAGGUGGCGAAUCACAAGGCACCCGAGCAGAUGAGGCUCUCUGCCUCGUAGCGUGACUCUACAAAGGGGUAGCAGGAGCCCCUCGGGUCCUUGCCAUAUGGAAAUGGAGAAAUGGGCCUCGGGUCUGUGCUCGAAGGGGGGGUGUCGAAUGGGAGAUAAACGGAGGAGUGAGAUGCAAGNNNNNNNNNNNNNNNNNNNNNNNNNNNNNNNNNNNNNNNNNNNNNNNNNNNNNNNNNNNNNNNNNNNNNAAGUUGUUAAUCUAAGGGGGGGGGGGGGGGGGGGGGGGGGAGGGGAGUGUGAACAGAGGGUGGAACCAGAAUAGAGGCACGGGGUGACACUUAUUAUUUGAGAAGGGUUUCGCAUACCCUGCGAAAUUUUCGCAAGGGUGUGCAAAAUGCCUUAGUGAAUUUUUUCUUCAGGGUUUUUCCUCUGCCAAGAAUCUUUAAGGACAUGCCCAAUUGCUUUGAAGUUCCCCUUGAAAUUGAUAAUAAAAAACCUAAGUUAAAUCAAACCAAAAUUAAAUUAAAGUGAGAAAUCAAAAUCAAAACAAGUUACAAUACAAGAAAACUCUCUAAUAAAAAAUAAAACAAAAAGAUAUGGACUUGAUAGUCUUUAGAAAUGCUAAGUCCAUCCAAAAACUGGUCUUGUCAAGCUUGAUGUGGAUCAAGGAGUAUGAAUUCCUCUUUGUCACGAGAAAAAGGCUCCACAAAGGGCUUGAGACAAUGACCAUUCAUUUUGAAGCUACUGGUGUUGUUGGAGUUGAGUAGUUCCACUACUCCAUUUGAAUGCACUUGGUGAAUGGUAAAAUGACCUAUCCACCUUAAUUUCAGCUUGCCCGGAAAGAUGUGGAGCUUAGAGUCAUAAAAUAAGACUCUUUGUCCAUUUUGAAAAUCUUUGCGGGAAACUAACUAAUCAUGCCACCUCUUCAAUCUCUCUUUUGCAAUUUUUGAAUUGAUGUAGGCAUCAUUUCUCAGUUCCUCCAACUCACUGAGGUCUAAGAACCUCUUCAUUCCAGCUUUGCUCAAAUCCAUGUUGAGCUUCUUGAUUGCCCACCAAGCUUUGUAUUCCAAUUCCACAGGGAGAUGACAUGCUUUGUCAUAGACUAGGCGAUAAGGAGACAUCCCAAGAAUGGUCUUGUAAGCUGUUCUAUAUGCCCAUAGUGAAUCAAAGAGCUUGGCAGACCAAUCUUUUCUGUUCGUGUUCACCACCUUCAUCAAUAUGUUUUUAAUCUCCCAGUUUGCUAACUCAACUUGCCCACUAGUUUGAGGGUGGUAAGGUGUAGCUACCUUAUGCUUCACCCCAUACUUGGUUAGGAGAGUUUCAAAAGGCUUGUUGCAAAAAUGAGUACCCCCAUCACUAAUUAUGGCUUUGGGUACCCCAAAUCUUGAGCAAAUGUUUUCCUUGAGAAACUUGAGAACCACUCUAUGGUCAUUGUGCUUGGAUGGGACUGCCUCAACCCACUUAGAAACAUAAUCUACUCCCACCAAGAUGUAAGAGUAGCCAAAAGACAUAGAGAAUGGUCUCAUGAAGUCAAUGCCCCAAACACAAAAAAGAUCAACUAUCAAAAUGGGGUUCAAAGGCAUCAUGUUCUUGCGUGUCAACUUUCCAACCCUCUGACAUCGAUCACAACUCUUGCACAUAGUGUGGGCAUCUUUGAAAAGUGAUGGUCAACAGAAACCCGAUUGCAACACCCUCAUGGCUGUCUUCUGAGAAGCAAAGUGGCCUCCACAUGCAUUUUCAUGGAAAUGACUGAGGGUCCCCUGUUGCUCUUCUUCAGGAACACACUUCCUUAUUAUCUGAUCCACACAGUACUUGAAUAGAAAUGGCUCUUCCCAAUAGUAGGCAUGGAUUUUUGCAAAGAAGUACUUCUUAUCUUAUGCUUUCCACUCACUUGGAACUUUUCCUAUGACUAGGUAGUUAGCAAUAUGAGCAUACCAAGGAGCAACUUCCACCAACAUAAGAGACUCAUCUGGAAAAUCAUCAUUGAUGGGCAAACCAUGGGAAUUAUGUGCGAUAGCUAGCCUUGAAAGGUGGUCUACUACCACAUUCUCUACUUUUUUCUUGUCUUUGAUCUGGAGAUCGAACUCUUGAAGCAAGAAGAUCCAUCUAAUUAGCCUUGCUUUAGCAUCUUGCUUAGUCAACAGAUACUUCAAAGCAGAGUAAUAAGUGAAAACCACAAUGAAGGACCCCACCAAGUAAGCCCGAAACUUAUCCAAGGCAAAAACUAAAGCUAACAAUUCUUUCUCGGUGGUUGUGUAGUUUCUUUGCCCCUCAUUCAAUGUCUUGCUCCCAUAGUAGAUCACAUAGGGUUUUCCAUCUUCUCUUUGCCCAAGAACAACUCCUAUGGCAAAGUCAUUGGCAUCACACAUUACCUCAAAGGGCAGUUGCCAGUUAGGAGCCCUCACUAUUGGUGCGAUUGUCAGAAAUAGCUUCAAUUCUUCAAAACUCCUUUGGCAUCUAUCAUCCCAUAUGAAUUUAGCAUCCUUCACCAAUAGUUUACAAAGGGGCCUUGCAAGCUUAGAGAAAUCUUUGAUAAACCUCCUAUAGAACCCGGCAUGGCCAAUGAAUUGCCUUACUCCUUUAACAUUUGUUGGGGAUGGCAACUUGACAAUGAGUUCAACCUUUGCUUUGUCAACUUCAAUGCCUUGCUUGGAGAUGAUGUGCCUAAGGACAAUCCCUUGUUGUACCAUGAAAUGACACUUCUCCCGAUUAAGCACUAAGCCUUUCUCAAUGCAUCGAUUCAGAACAGCUUCUAAAUUGACCAAGCAUUCAUCAAAUGCACUUCCAUAUAUGGUGAUAUCAUCCAUAAAGACUUCCAUAAUACGCUUCAAUAUAUCACUGAAAAUGCUUAACAUGCAUUUUUGGAAAGUUGCGGGUGCAUUGCAUAAGUCGAAAGGCAUUCUCCUAUAUGCAUAGGUGCCAAAUGGGCAUGUGAAAGUGGUAUUCUCCUGGUCUUCAACAUCAAUUUCUAUCUGAAAGUACCCGGAGUAUCCAUCCAAGAAACAAUAAAAAGGAUGCCUAGAGACCCUCUCAAGCACUUGAUCAAUAAAGGGCAACGGGAAAUGGUCAUUCCUUGUCACUGCAUUCAAUCUCCUGUAAUCGAUACACACCCUCCAACCUGUAGUGAGGUAUGUAGAGACAUCUUCUCCCUUAUUAUUUUGCACCACCAUGAUCCCAGACUUCUUUGGCACAACUUGAGUAGGACUCACCCAUAGGCUAUCUGAUAUGGGGUAGAUAAUACCGACCUGAAGCAGCUUAAGAACUUCAGCUCGCACCACCUCUUGCAUGUGAGAGUUCAACCUUCUCUGAGGUUGCUGAACUGGCUUAGCUUCAUCCUUCAUGUAAAUAUGAUGGGUGUAGACUAAAGGGCUGAUCCCUUUCAAAUCAGAAAUUUGCCACCCUAUUGCCUUUUUACAUCUUCUAAGGACUUUAAGUGGACAAUCCUCCUGAUGAAUGGUAAGAGCUGAAGAUAUAACAACAAGGCACUGCUUGUCUUCUUCCAAGUAUGCAUACUUCAGCUCUAUGGGUAGUGGCUUAAGAAUAACUUUUGGGGGCUCCUCCUUAGCAGCUCUUUGUGUCUCAUCCUUAUUGAUUAAGGGUAGAAUUUCUUCUUUCCUCCUCCAAAGAGACAAGGUAGUAAGCAAAUCUAAGGGCUUAGGUAACUCUUCAUCAAGAUCCUCAAGACUCUCAAUCAAAUCCUCCUGUAUUCUCUUAUCACAAUGCCCCUCCACUAAAGUGUCAAUCAUGCACGCUUCCUUUGGACCUUCUUCUUUUUCCGGAUGGAUAUGCUUUUUACACAAAUGGAAGAUGUUGAACUCUAAUGUCAUGUUGCCAAACAUGAGUUUCAUGACUCCAUUCCUACAAUUGAUGAUUGCAUUUGAUGUAGCUAGGAAUGGUCUUCCAAGUAUAAUAGGAACAUAAUUAGUUCCUUUGACAAUCGGAUCCACAUCAAGAAUAACAAAAUCCACUGGAUAGUAUAAUUUGUCAAUUUGAACCAAGAGAUCUUCGAUCAUCCCUCUUGGAAUCUUCACUGAUCUAUCUGCCAGAGAUAGAGUGAUGGAUGUUGGCUUUAACUUUCCAAGUCCCAACUGCUUGUAGACAGAGUAGGGUAGCAAAUUCACACUUGCUCCCAAGUCCAACAAAGCUUUUUCCACACAAUCCCUCAAAUACUCACUGAGAUGGUAGGGUAGCCCGGAUCUUUGUACUUCACUGGAGACUUGCACUAUAUGAUGGCACUCACUUGCUCAGUCAAUAAGGCUUUCUUAUUCACAUUCAACCUUUUCUUUACAGUGCAUAAGUCCUUCAAGAAUUUUGCAUAUGUUGGCACUUGUUUGAUCAUGUCUAGCAAAGGGAUAUUGACCUUCCCUUGCUUCAACACUUCAAAAAUUUCUGAUGCAUUAUUGGUUCCCUUUUUGCCAUGCAAAGCUUGGGGGAAAGAUGGAGGCAUGUGUUUCUUCAUCAUAUCUUCUUUGAUGACUAUCCUCUUGGGUUCUUCAUCCACACUAGAAUCACAGUCAUUUUUUUUUUUGUACUUUUCCCUUUUCUCUUUCCUUUAAUUUCCUCACUCUUUUCUUUUUCUGCUACACUCUCUUCAUCAUGCUUUGGCUUGGAUGUGGGUUGAUCAACCUCUUUACCACUCCUCAAGGUGAUAACUGCUUUAACCUCCCUCACCUUUGAAGAUUCUCCCUCUUGAGCCUCCACUUCAUGGAUACCCUUGGGAUUUUGAUGAGGUUAAAAAGGAAACUUUCCUUUCUCUUGCACUGUGUUGAGGUUGGUAAGCCUUGAGAUUGCGUAUUGGACAUUGUCUAUCUUCUGAGAUAGAUCAUUUUGCAUCCCAUCCAUCCUUUUGUUCAAUGUACUUUCCAUACUGUCAAUUCUCUGAUUCAAUUGAGCAUUGAUGGACUUCUGAUCUCCCACAAAGUCUCCCAUAACCUUGCUAAGGUUCACAAUAACUUGUUCAAGAUUUGAGGUUUGCUGAGGUGCUUGAGCAGGUUGUGUGUACUGAGGUGGCUUUGGUUUCUAAUAGAAAUUUGGAUGGUUCCUCCAAUUUGAAUUGUAGGUGUUGCCAUAUGAAGCAUUGUUAUUGGGCUUGAAUUGACCAAUAACGUUUGCUUGAUCACCAAACAUCUCACUCACUACUGGAAUGGUAGGACAUUCCUCCACCAAGUGCUCAUAAGAUUGACAAAUGGAACAAGGCAUAGCUUGCACUGAUGUCUCAGAAAUGGCUUGCACUUCUUGUACCUUCUUCAUUUCUAACUCUUCCAAUCUCCUUGCCAUAGCUGCAACAUUUGCCUUCAUGUUAAUGUCUUCAUUCAAAACAUACAUCCCACCCUUAGCAUUAGGUUGAGACUUCAUUCUUCCCACCUCUCUAGCAUUUGGUUCAUCCCAUCAUCUUGAAACUUCAGCCACAUAACUCAAAAAGUCCAUGGCUUCCUCCAGAUUCUUACUCAUGAAGUCUCCUCUACACAGUUUCUAGGAGUUGCUUCAUUGAAGAAUGCAUACCAUAGUAAAAAUAGCUCACUAAGAGCCAUGUGUCAAAGCCAUGGUGAGGAUAAGCAUUAAUAGCUUCCAUGUACCUCUCCCAACACUCAUAGAAUUUCUCAUUCUCUUUAGUUGAGAAGUUCAAAAUUCGCCUUUUCAAACCAUUGAUCCUAUGAGUAGGGAAAAAUUUCUUGAGAAACUCGGCUUGCAAAUCGGUCCAAGUUCGGAUACUCCUUGGCCUUAGAGAAUUGAGCCAAAUCUUGGCCUUAUUCUUCAAAGUGAAAGGAAAUAGCUUGAGCCUCAUCAAGUCAAUUGAAGUUCCUCCUUCUUGGAAUGUAUUACAAACCUCCUCGAAUUCCUUAAUAUGCGAGUAGGGAUUCUUAGUUUCCAUCCCAUGGAAAGUAGGUAGGAGUGACACAAUGUGAGGUCGGAUUACUAGCUGCUCAAUGGGAGGCACUAUGCAUGAUGGUGCACUCAUACAAGGUGGAUGCAUGCGGUUCCUCAUGGAUCGGUAUGCAUUGAAAUUAUCCUCUUGACCAUGUUGGCUAUUCUGGUCUUCAGGUGGAACAUCCAUGAUGUUCAAGCACACUUCCAACUCAUUUUCUUGAGGAGUUUCAAUCUUCACAAGUCUUCUCUCAAUAUCUCUUAUCCAAUAGGGCAUGCACAACUAGAGAUCACUGAAACAAAAACAAAGAAAACAAAAUAAAUACAAUUCUAGGAAGAGGUAAAGGUUAGCAAAAAACUAAAUAAAAGAUAAGUUAAAAUAGAGACAAAGAAAAAGAAUUAGUAAAAGAAAAAUCACCAAACUUGUGAUGAAGAUCACAAGUGUUCACCAAAAGUAAUGCCAAUGUACUUUGGCACCAUCCCUGACAACAACGCCAUUUGAUUCGUCCCCAACAAUAGCGCCAUUUGAUUCUUGCGCCAGACAAGUGUUAUCAAUAAAAUUUAUAAAACCUAAAUCACCUUACACUAGGGUAGCAUGGCUACUAUAGUAUAGUGGCUCUAGGAUCAUCCACAUGGAUGAAUUUUCUUCGUACAAGUGACUUUAGUGAAGGUAAUGAAAUGGUGUUUUUCCUUAUGAAAAUUAGCUUUUAAAGAAAAUGGAAUUGUGGUUGAAAAAGUUGAUUUUAAGUUAAGCAAAAAUAGCAAUUGAAGUUAACUACAAACAGAAUGUCUCUUGGAACUUUAGGUCACUAGGAUCGAGUUCCUUAGGCAAAGAGAGAUUCCGGAUUUUCUCCUCGCAUUGGUGACAAUAACAUAAAGGAUGGUUAUCUCCUGAACCAGUUUUGUAUCUAGCAAUUAAGAUUUGAUCUAAAGGGUUCAUGAAAAAUGGUAGUUGCUUCCCAUUAAUGGCUUCAAACACUAAAACCCUUCACCUUGAACCACCUUCCAAUGGCUCGUACUUGAUAAUUAAUGAACAUCCAUGGAUCUAGCAAUAAGCAUCCAUAGAAUUCGGAAAGCUUACCAAGUAUUGGCCAUUCAAGGUGAUUCUCACCUUGAGCCACCUUCCAAUGGCUCAUAAUUGAUAACUAAUGGACAUCCAUGGAUCUAGCAAUAAGCAUCCAUAGAAUCUAGAAAGCUUACCAAGUAUUGGCCAUUUAAGGUGAUUAUAAGGGAUUUAAAGCUAAACCUUGAAAUAAAAACCAUUAAUGGUUAACAACUACCUUCAUUUAAAGCAAGAAAAACUCCCACCUUUGCAUCCGGGUCCUUCACCUAGUUAUUUCCAUCAUUCCAAGAUACGUAAAACUUAGCCACUCAUCCCCUGAGAAAUCAUCCUUAGAGGUUCUUUGGCUAGAAAGAAAAAUGAAAACAAAAUGAGAAGGAAAAGCAGAGCAAGGGCUCUAUAUAUUUCUUCCUAUGGGAAUUACAAGUGUCGUAUAUUUGUCUCCUUUUCAAAAGAUUAUACAAAAAGAUCUUAUAUAGAGAGGUCUUUCCAACCCCCUUUUAUAGUUCCUAACCAAGAAAUCCUAUCAUUGGUUGAUUACAAGGAGAAAAUAGUAAUUUACACAAAUUUCUGGAGAUAAAAAUCUAAUGGAGUUGGUGCAUAAGAAGAUUUCACAGACCAUGCGAAAUUUCGCAUGGUGUGCAAAAUUGUCCUUCACUCAGUCUUGCAGCUGCUCCUCUUAUUGAUUUCGCAUGCUAUGCGAAAUUGCUACAUGUUGGAUUUCUUCCUCUGGUUUUCUUCCUUGCAUCUCUGAUUGGCUUGGCAAAGGGCUAUGAUGUGCUCCAAAACUCGGAUUCUUCAUGUAUUUGAGCUUCAACUUGCAUUGCCAUGGAUUGUACAAAAUUCUCUCUCAUUCUUUGCUUGUUUCAAUGAUAAAAAAGCUACCAAAAACACCAAAACUAGCCAAAAACUGAUUAGUAACCCUUGCUAGGUUCCUUAAUGUACCAAUUGAGUUAAAAAGUAUUAACUACUACUCAAAAGUGUUUAAAACAGUUAAUUUCAAGCUAUAAAAGAGCACUUUUUGAGUAGUAAUAAGAAUGAAAUGUAGGACUUGGUCACAGUGGGAUAUAUAAAAAAAAAACAUCUUUUUCAGUAAGGAAGAAGGUUUGUGGUGGGGAGUUUGAUGGCAUAUAUAGGAUUGUUCUUUUAUAUGCACUCACUCUUGGCUUUGGGGGUACAUGCCCACUUUGAUUGAAAAAUUAAAAGGUUCAUACCCACUUUGAUAAUAAAAAAAUUAAAAAUAAAAGCUUAUUACGAGUAAACGUUACAUGAUGAUGAGAGAAAUCGUGUGUGAAUACUAAAUAUCAAUAAUUCCAAGCACUGAUUCCAUUUUCAAUUUUGUUGAGUCAUCAAUCAAUGUUUUAGAAACAAAUAGGUUUUUAUAAUUGGAUUGGUCAAUUCAAUUAAAAAUAUUAAGGAUUAUGAUUCAUUAGUUAAAGUAUUAAGGGGUUCAAUUGUAGUCAAUUAUUUUGAUGUUAGGAUGACAUUAUAAAUAUAUAAUUUAUAUUUUAUUAAAAUUAAAAUAAUUAUAAAAUAUAUAAAUAAUUAAUAUAUUAAUAUAUUUGAUUUUUUAAAAAGACUUUACUAUUAUUAAAUUAAAUCAUAAUAAGGGUAAAUAUAGAUGUAUUAAAACUUUUAAUUUUAUUUAAUAAAAUAUUUAUAAUAUUGAAGUGAAAAGAUAUAUUCAAGAUGAUAUAAAUUGGUGAUGACUUCUCAACUGACAAAAACUCAUUAAUUAUCAUGUUAUUAUUUAAAGUUUCCAUCAUUACCUUCAUAGCUUUUCUUCGCUCACACGGUUCGUAGGUUGGAAAAGUCCAUUUGCAAGAGAGGAAACCAGAAAGAAGAAAAUGUUUUCCUCCUCGAACUCUCGUGAUCUACGACCACCCUUGGAGAUAAUUUUUCCAAUGAUGGUGAUUCCUAAUAUGAACGAGAUAGGGGGAUGACUAUUGCUAUCCUGGCCUACUCCUCAGGUUUUUUUUGCAAGAGUACCGAUAAUUUAAAAAUAUAAUCUUGUUAAAAAUCCCCUACCUCCUCCCUCGUCGGUAUUAGCAAAAGCUCGAACUUGACCUUCUCUACCCGCUCAAUCGCCACACGUGAUUGGCACACAUGAAACCAGUCGUUCUUGAUCUUCGACCACCCUGUCCUUCAUUCAAUAGAUGGCUUUGCUCUACUUCUCAAUCAAUCCCCUGUGUUCAUGGCUUUGAAUAUUUGGAAAUGCUUUUAUUUUCUAUAAAGAUCUUGAUGACCGCUUAAUUCAUCUGUCUUCCCGCUUUUGAAAUAGAAAUGGCUUUUUUUUUUAUUCCCUGAUCUACGAGCACCCUAAGAAAAGUGAUCUAUGAAACUUACAGGCUUUCGACUAAAAAGUGACCAAUGGAAUAGGCUUUAGAGUAACUCUUUCCAAAUAGGUCGAGAAAUAAAAUUUUAAGGAGCUUUCUAGUUGGAUUCACAAGUGUAAAUAGAAUUCAGGUGAAACAUAGGAAUUCCAAAGAAUAAUAGGUAGAAUAUCAUAUCAGUUCACCUUAAGAGCUCAUCUUAAGCCUGUGUUAUGAAUCUUAUGAUCAGGUUUGAAUUCUAGAGUAAAGAGUUGAUCUUAAGCCUAUGUUCGCACGGUUAGAAAUAGAAUUUUAAGGAGAACAAAAUUCGGCAUUGUUUCAACUAGCCUAGACCUUGAUACAAUUUAAGUCGUUAAACGAAUUCAACAUUCUCCGAGUCAAUCCAUGACGUCUCAUGAAUUUUAAACAAUUUCUCAGAAAAAUAAACAAAUAAAGCAUAAUUAAAAAGAAAAAGAAGAAAGAAGUCAGUUUGAAAGCAAAAUAAGAAGGGAAAUGUACCAGAGUAUAACGGUGGUGGGUUAGUUGGAGUUGUUCACAGUGUUCUACUCAUGAAGGUGGGAGUAGUGUAUUGGUGAUGAGAAGGUGGAUAGUCGGAGAUGGUAGCCAACGACAGUGAGAAUGGUGACUUUGUGACCCUUGAAUGGGUUGCAUUAGUAGUUUUAAACCAGAGAAAAGGCUAAAAAAGAAAAAGAAAAGAGAAAGAAAGUCUUCUUGUGGGCCGACAAGAGUGUGUUUCUAUAGCAAUAAUUCGAAGAAAGUAGGUGGUCGACAACAGUAGUACUAGUUUUAAGAAACCAGGGAGAAAGCAAAAAAAAAAAUAAAAUAAAAUGGAAGAGCUAGGAGGGAAAGAGAUUCGUCUUUUGGAGUGGUGAGAGUAUGGUGGGGAGCUGAUACUAAUAGUACAUAUAGGGUAUUAAUGUUGGUGGGGGUGGUGUGAAUUUGGAAGAUAUGAUGUUGUUAUUAAGGUUUUUUAAAAACCUAUAAGAGAGUAGAAACAUGGGUUUCUUAGUUUUUUCUUGGGGUAUUAACUUAUUUAUUUGUAUAUGUCAUGGUGAUGGAGAUCUGCCAAGCUUGAUUGUUGAUGGUGAUCAUCCCCAGACUUGCGUAUGUUCCACCUAUGACAUUUUUCGUUUGCUCUCCACCUCUCCCAUCUCCUCCUCCAUAUUAGCAUACUGAGUAGCCUUAGACAAGAGUGUUUCCAUUUUGGUAAGUCCACUUUUAGUGAGCGAUCACUGCAAGGGGCUAGCUGGUGGUAGGGCCUUCCUAAAAGUAGUCAUAGUAGUCUUCGAGUUGUCACUCUCGACCUGUAUAAUUUUUGUAACAAAACUAUGAAUGAACUUACGUAACAGUUCUCCGGGGCUCUACUUAAGAUUGAACAAAUUAUCGAUACUGCGUCGAGUACGCAUAUUGCACGUGUAAUGAGUCAUGAAUUAGUCACACAAUUGAGAAAAACUAUGGAUAGAACAAGUAGGGAGUUGAUGGAACCAGGUUAGUGAGGCACCUUGGAGACUGGCGGGGAAAACCCAACAUAGUAAGCCUUCACGACCAUCAACAAGAGCCAUUAAUUGGCUAAAAUGGUAAAUAUGCUCAGUGGGAUCCCCAAUUCUAUUAUAAAGAUUAAAUUUAGGUGGUAAAUAAUGAAUAGGUAAUUCUUCCUACAGCAAUUGUGGAAACAACGGUGACUGCAACAUACUUGCCUAUUUUCGAGUCGUUCCCGGGGAAGAAUUUGCUUGCAGUUUAAUUUGUUGUAUCUCUGUUGCUAGCCUUUUAUACUUCUGUUCCAGCCCUUUCGAUUUUGGUGCUACAAACUGUGAAUAAUUACUACUCAAAAAGUGCUAUUUGAUAGCUUUUAAUUAACUCUUUUAAACACUUUUGAGUAGUUAUUAUUACCUUUUAACUCAAUUAACAUAUUAAGGACCCUUGCAAUCAUUUCUAAUCAAUUUGUGUAAGUUUUGGUGUUUUUGUUAGUAAGUUGAUCACAAAAGCAAUCCGAGAUUGAGGAGAGUUCUUUGGAAUCCAUGGCAAAGCAAUGGAAAGCUCAGAAACAUGAAGAACCAAAGCUUUGAAGCUUUAAAGUCCUUUGCCAUAAGCAAAGAUUUUGGAGCACUUCCUGGAGUUCAAUUUAUGCAUACUGUCGUUUCGAAGCUCGGGAAGUUAGCAAUCUAAUGCUUCAAACGGUGCACGAUUCGGAGUUGAAAUGAAGGAGUUACAACCAUUGGAAGCCGAUCACUCCAAGCUGAAGGCAAAUUUCGCAGGGUUGUGAAAUCAGCCUUUGGCUGCGAAAUGGUGUCCUUCAUGUUGCGAAAUUUCGCAGCCCUCUUGCGCGGCUGCGAAAUUCUCCUGAAGCUUCACGAUAUUUGCGACCGACAUUUUGAGAUUUUUUUGCUUUAGAUAUUUGAUGUCUAAAUCCCCAAACUCUCCUUGUAACCCACCUAUCAUAGGAUUCCUUAGUCUUUAAGCAAGAACAAAGGGUAAAUAAACCCAUAUUUAAUGCUUGUAAGUUUCCAUUAAAAAAGGAGACAAGAAACUUGUUCUCAUACAACUUUUAUAUAGUAUUUGAAGGAAGUAAAUUCAGGGCCUUUGCUCUGCCUUACCUAUUCGUUUUGAUUGUAUAUAUUUAUUUAAUUUUUCUUACUAGCCAAACAAGCUCUGAGGAUGUUUCCUCAGAGAAUGAGUGGCUAGGCUUUUAGUUCCUUGGAACUAAGGUUGCCGGGAAAGGUUCCAAAUGCAAGAAUUGGUAGUUUUGUUGUUUCAGCCAUUAAUGAAGAGAAAGUGCAACUCAUUAAUGAUUUCUAUGUUUUUAGUUAACUUAAAACACCUUCAAUUCACCUGAGCAAACACUUGGUAAGGUAAGUGAUCUCCGUCCAUGGAGAUGCACUAGUUUACCUCUUGUGAGUUUUUGGUAUGUGACUUGAAGAUAGGAUUUUCUAGAAUUGCCAACACUUGGUAAGCUUUUAAACUCCAAGGAGACAUCCAUUAGUUAUCUCUUGCGAGCUUGAGAAGGGAAGUCCAAGGUUAAUGAUCACCUUGAAUGGCAAAUGCUAGGUGAGAGGCACGAGCCAUUGCAAGUUGCAUCAAUGAGAGGGAAUUAGUGCUGAAAUCCAUUAAAGGGAAGCAUCUGUACAACACCGGUUAGAGAAUUGACUAUAUGUUAAUUCUCUAAUGCGAGGAAAUGAACCAAGUGACCGGAGCUCUGUUUUUGCAUGAGGAGCCUCCCCUGUGAACCUAAAACUCCAAGGAAUGCUUUUCUUCAUAAGUAAUUUUCAUUACUUUAUUUUUAGUUAGCUUAAAACAAAACCUUUUUCAACCAAAGUUUAUGUUUUUUUCUUAAGCUAACCUUGAAAUGAAAAAGCACCAAUUUAACUUUGAAUUGGUAUCAGUUGUGAGUUGAAAACCCUUCCCAGUGAACAAUCCUAGAGCCACUAUGCUAUAUUAGCUAAAGCUAUCCUAAUGCAUGGUGAUAUAGGUUAUAAAUUUUGUUGAUUACUUCCUCAAUCAAGGAACACCAGCUGGACAUGAAUCAGCUGAGACACCAAUUGGGAAACACGAAUCAAAUGGCGCCGCUGCCGGGGAAGGUGCCAACUUCACAGUGAUAUUAUUUCAGUGUACUUGUGGUUCUCAUCACAAGUUUGGUGAAUUUUCUUUCAUUUUAAUAACUCUUUUAAUUGUUUCUUUUACUUGUUCAUAUUCUAACAUAGCUUUUAAUUUAGUUUCAGUUAAUCUAAGUCUUUUUGGUAGUCUUGUUUUUUUUGUUUUCCUCUGUUUUUGUUUUUUUUCUAUUUUUGUUUUUUUUCUUUGUUACAGUUGAUACUAGUUGUGUAUGCCAAAUUGGAUACGAGAUAGUGGAGGAAGGCUUGUUAAACGUGAAACACCUCAUAACAAGGAGUUGGAAUUGAGCUUGAACAUCAUGGAAACUACACCUGAAGAUCCGCAUAGUCACCAUGGUCAUCAGGACAAUCCCAACGAAUUCAGAUCAAUGAGGGACCGCAUGCAUCCACCUCGUAUGAGUGCACCAUCAUGUAUAGUGCCCCCUAAAGAGCAGCUAGUGAUCAGGCCCUAUAUUGUUCCACUUCUACCAACUUUCCAUGGAAUGGAAAGUGAGAAUCCCUAUGCACAUAUCAAGGAAUUUGAAGAUGUUUGUAAUACAUUCCGAGAUAGAGGAGCUUCAAUCGACUUGAUGAGGCUUAAGCUAUUUCUUUUUACUUUAAAGGAUAAAGCCAAGAUUUGGCUUAAUUCUUUAAGGCCAAGGAGUAUCCGUACUUGGACUGAUUUACAAGUUGGAUUCCUCAAAAAGUUUUUUCCUACUCACAGAACAAAUGGCUUGAAAAGACAAAUUUCAAACUUCUCAGCUAAAGGAAUGAGAAAUUCUAUGAGUGUUGGGAAAGAUACAUGGAAGCCAUUAAUGCUUGUGAUGCGACUCAUGGUAGCUUAGCUUUAAAGGCGUAUCAACAAAAUUUAUACCUUAAAUACUAUUACUAAAGUAGCCAAGCUACUAUAGCAUAGUGGUUCUAGGAUCGUUCACUGGGAAGGGUUUUCACAAACACUAGUGAUAUUCAAAUUAGGAAAAUAGGUGAUUUUCUUAUGGAUGUUAGCUUUAAAAGAAGAUGUAAAUGUUUUAGAAAGAUUUAAACUAAUCUAAGCUAACAUUAAAGACUAAAAUGAAAGGGUGUAAAAACAAGUUUCUCAAAGAUAGGAUAGCUAUGCUCUGGCUCUUAUGCAAAUUGGAAAUCUCAGGAUAGGCUCCUCGCGUUGGGGUUGCAACUAUGGUGAUGCUUGCUUCCCGAACCGGUAUGGAUUUAGCAAAUCAAGUUUUAAUCCUUUAAAAUGGCAAAACAGAUGGUAGUGAAUUUCAUCAAUGGUUAUUCACUUUAGACUUCCUUUGAAUGGCUCGUAAGAGAUAACUAAUGGUCUAAAGCCAAAAGCUUACCAAAUAUUGGCAACUCAAAGUCAUUCCAGGUGAUAAACUCACCUUUCAAUGGCCAUUGAAAUUGGUUCUAACGGAUUAAUGCAAAACUUGGAAUUGAAAACCUCACCUUCCAAUAGCUCGUAGGAGAUAACUAAUGGAUAGAAAUCCAAAAGCUUAUCAAGUAUUGGCCGUUGGAAGUUGUCCAAAGGAAAUAAAAACCAAACUUUGCAUUAAUGAACCGUUAAUGAAAAACGACUACCUUACCUUCCAGGUGCGAGAAAUUUCCAUGGGAUUGCAUCCAAGCCAUCACAUAACAUCCAUACUUUGAGAAACUAAAAGUUUUAGCCAAUCAUCCUCUGAGGAAAAGCCCUUAGAGGCUGUUUGGCUACUAAGAAAAUAGAAAUGGGGAAGAACAGGAGAAGAGAAAAACAGAGCUUUAUAUAUGUCUAAGUUAAUGUACACAGGAUCGAUCCCCAAUCAUCCCAUUUUUCGUCCCCUGUUGGAGGUGUUGUGCACCUCUAUAUAUAGCAAAAUUACAAGAUAAAGCUUUAUGUCGGCUGAAUACAAGGUUACAAAAGGAAUUUACAUGAGAAAAUAUCAAGCUAAAAAUAUUUGGGAAGUCGGUGGUGCGUGCGUGGAGAAACAGAGGAUUAAAAGGAAUUUCGCAAUGUAAAAGGCACAUUGCGAAAUUUUCGCAAUGUGAAUUACUCAUGAUGCGAAGUGCCAUAUUUUCGCAUCAUGAGUUAAUUCACCUUGCGAAAUUUUCGCAAUGUGAAAUUCACAUUGCGAAAUGGCAAAAUUUCGCACCAUGAAGAAAAUCUCCUUGCGAAAUUUUCGCAAUGUGAAAUUCACCUUGCGAAAUUGGUCAUUUGGCAUGAUGCAGUUGCCUUCCGAAGGCCAUAUCUUCCUCAUUUCAGCUCCAAAUUAUACACGGUUUGAAGCGUUGGAUUCUUGACUUCCUAAGCUUUCAAAUGGUAUAUAGCAUGUAGAAAAUGGACUUCAGGAAGUGCUCCAAAAGUGUGAAAGAAGACUGCAUCUGUUUUCUUCACUUUGUUUUCCUCUUCUCCAUUGCUUGUGCUCGUGUUUCCACUUGAAAUUCAAGCCUGUAAUCAUCCAAAAUCCUUGCUUAACUCGCCCAAAUAGCUCCUCCAUCAAUUGGCAUGCUUGAAUUGGUUCAUAAGCUGAUAAAAACAUGUAAACUUGCCACAAAAUGGUUAAAACCAAUUACUAAGGACCUUAAUGAAUUAAUUAGGUUAAAUGAAUAUGAUUACUACUCAAAGGUGCUUAAAACCAUUAUUAUUAGGUCUACAAAAUAGCACUUUUUGGUAGUAAUCAGCUUGUCCUCACCAUGGUUUUGAUACAUGGCUGUUGGUGAGUUAUUUCUAUGAUGGGAUGUCUUCCUCAAUGAAACAACUCCUCGAAACAAUGUGUGGAGGGGAUUUCUGAGUAAGAAUCCUGAGGAAGCUAUGAAUUUCUUGAGUUAUGUAGCUGAAGUCUCAAGGGGGUGGGAUGAACCGAAUAGAGGAGAAGUGGGAAAGAUGAAGUCUCAACCAAAUGCUUUUCAUGCUAAGGCUGGGAUGUACACCUUGAAUGAAGAUGUUGAUAUGAAAACAAAAUUUGCAGCUAUGACAAGAAGAUUGGAGGAGCUAGAACUGAAAAAGAUGCAUGAAGUGCAAGCUGUUGCUGAAACACCAGUGCAAGUAAAGCUAUGUUCUAUUUGUCAAUCUUAUGAACACUUGGUGGAGAAGUGCCCUACAAUUCCAGUUGCUAGAGAAAUGUUUGGAGAUCAAGCAAAUGUCAUUGGACAAUUCAAGCCCAAUAGCAAUGCUUAGUAUGGAAAUACUUACAACUCAAGUUGGAGGAAUCAUCCAAAUUUUUCAUGGAAGCCAAGAGCACCUCAGUACCAACAGCCGACUCAACCAUCUCAACAAGCUUCAAGUCUUGAACAAGCAAUAGUGAAUCUCAGCAAGGUUGUGGGAGAUUUUAUUGGAGACCAAAAAUCCAUCAAUGCUCAACUCAGUCAAAGAAUUGACAGUGUAGAGAAUACUUUGAAUAAAAGGAUGGAUGAGAUGCAAAAUGACUUAUCUCAGAAGAUAGAUAAUCUCCAAUACUCAAUCUCAAGGCUCACUAAUUUGAACACAGUGCAAGAGAAGGGUAGAUUUCCUUCUCAACCUCACAAAAACCCUAAGGGUAUCCAUGAAGUGGAAACUCAUGAGGGAGAAUCUUCAUAGGUGAGAGAUGUCAAAGCCUUGAUCACUCUAAGGAGUGGUAAAAAGGUUGAGUCACCAACACCCAAGCUACAUGUUGAAGAGAAAGAAGAGGGAGGAAAUGAAAGGAAAGAAGAAAAAUAUCAAUGAAGGGAAAGAGGACCAUGAUUCAACAAUGAAUGCAAAUCCGGAUAAAGAGCUUAUUAAGGAAGAACUGAUGAAGAAACACACAUCUCCACCUUUUCUUCAAGCUUUGCAUGGGAAAAAAUGGAUGAAAAAUGCAUCAGAAAUCCUUGAAGUAUUGAGGCAAGUGAAAGUCAAUAUUCCAUUGCUGGAUAUGAUUAAGCAAGUUCCAACAUAUGCAAAAUUCCUAAAGGAUUUGUGUACUAUCAAAAGAUGGUAGAAUGUGAAUAAGAAAGCCUUCUUGACUGAGUAAGUAAGUGCCAUCAUACAAGUCUCCUUUGAAGUACAAAGAUCCGGGAUGUCCUUCCAUUUUAGUCAUGAUUGGAGGAAAGGUAGUGGAAAAAGCUUUGUUAGACUUGGGAGCAAAUGUGAAUUUGCUACCAAAAUCUGUCUACAAGCAAUUGGGACUUGGUGAAUUGAAGCCAACAUCAAUCACUCUAUCUUUAGCUGAUAGAUCAGUGAAAAUUCCAAGGGGGAUAAUUGAAGAUGUCUUAGUUCAAGUUGAUAAUUUCUACUAUUCAGUAGAUUUUGUUGUUCUUGAUAUUGAUCAUUUUGUUAAGGAAGCUAAUUAUGUCCCUAUCAUCCUUGGUAGGCCAUUCCUUGCUACUUCAAAUGCAAUCAUCAAUUGUAGGAAUGGACUUAUGCAACUCACUUUUGGCAACAUGACACUUGAGCUUAAUAUCUUUUAUAUGUCUAAGAAGCUAAUCACUCCGGAAGAAGAAGAAGGUCCAGAAGAGGUAUGCAUUAUUGACACUCUAGUGGAGGAGCAUUGUAAUCAGAAUAUACAAGACAAGUUAAAUGAAAGUCUUGAGGAUCUUGAAGAAGGGUUGUCUGAACCCGCUGAUGUGCUUGCUACUCUAUAAGGUUGGAGGAGGAAAGAAGAGAUUCUAGCUUUAUUCAAUAAAGAGGAGGCACAAGAAGCUGUUAAGGAAGAGAUCCCAAAGCUCAAUUUGAAACCUCUGCCCAUGGAGUUGAAAUACACGUACCUGGAAGAAAAUAAUCAAUGCCCUGUUGUUAUAUCUUCAUCUCUUACUACUCAUCAGGAGAUUUCUCUACUUGAAGUUCUUAAGAGGUGUAAGAAAGCAAUAGGAUGACAAAUAUCUGACUUGAAAAGAAUCAGUCCUUUGGUUUGUACACAUCACAUAUAUAUGGAGGAAUAAGCUAAACCAAUUCGUCAACCUCAAAGAAGAUUGAAUCCUCAUUUACAAGAAGUGGUGUGAGCUGAGGUGCUGAAGCUACUUCAAACGGGUAUUAUUUAUCCCAUAUCUAACAGCCCUUGGGUGAGUCCUACUCAAGUGGUACCAAAGAAGUCAAGGAUUACUGUGGUUCAAAAUGAAAAAGGAGAAGAAAUUGCCACACGCCUCACUUCAGGUUGGAGGGUGUGUAUUGACUAUAGGAAAUUGAAUGUUGUGACAAGGAAAGAUCAUUUUCCACUCCCGUUUAUUGAUCAAGUGCUGGAGAGGGUCUCUGGUCAUCCUUUCUAUUGUUUCUUGGACGGGUACUCAGGGUAUUUCCAAAUUGAAAUUGAUGUUGAAGAUCAGGAGAAGACCACUUUCACAUGUCCAUUUGUAACAUACGCCUACAGAAGAAUGUCUUUUGGUUUAUGCAAUGCACCUGCAACAUUCCAAAGAUGUAUGCUUAGUAUCUUCAGUGAUAUGGUGAAGUGAAUUAUGGAGGUUUUCAUGGAUGAUAUCACCAUAUAUGGAGGUACAUUUGAAGAAUGCUUAAUCAAUUUGGAAGCGGUUCUUAACAGAUGCAUUGAAAAAGACUUGGUGCUCAACUGGGAGAAAUGCCACUUUAUGGUACAUCAAGGAAUUGUCCUUGGCCAUAUCAUCUCCGAGAAAGGCAUUGAAGUUGAUAAAGCAAAGGUGGAACUUAUUGUCAAAUUGCCAUCCCCAACCACUGUAAAAGGAGUAAGGCAAUUCCUUGGCCAUGCAGGGUUCUACAGGAGAUUUAUAAAAGACUUCUAUAAGCUUUCAAAGCCUCUUUGUGAACUUUUAGCUAAGGAUGCUAGUUUAUAUGGGAUGAAAGAUGUCAAAAGAGUUUUGAUCAAUUGAAGCAAUUUUUUACAACCGCUCCAGUAGUGAAGGCUCCCAACUGGCAACUACCCUUUGAAGUAAUGUGUGAUGUCAGUGACUUUGCUAUAAGAGUUGUACUUGGACAAAGAGAAGAUGGGAAGCCCUAUGUGAUUUACUAUGCAAGCAAAACAUUGAACGAAGCUCAAAGGAACUACACAACUACAGAGAAAGAGUUGUUAGCUGUGGUGUUUGCCUUAGACAAGUUUCGUGCUUAUUUGGUAGGGUCUUUCAUCAUUGUUUUCACUGACCAUUCAGCCUUGAAGUAUUUAUUGACAAAGCAAGAUGCAAAAGCAAGGUUGAUUAGAUGGAUUCUUUUAUUACAAGAGUUCGAUCUCCAAAUCAGAGACAAGAAAGGAGUGGAGAAUGUGGUAGCUGACCACUUUUCAAGGUUGGCUAUAGCACAUAAUUCCCAUGUCUUACCGAUUAAUGAUGACUUUCCUGAGGAAUCACUCAUGUUGCUAGAGAAAACUCCUUGGUAUGCUCAUAUUGCUAACUAUUUGGUUACUGUUGAAGUUCCAAGUGAGUGGAAAGCAUAGGACAGGAAGCACUUCUUUGCAAAGAUUCAUGAUUAUUAUUGGGAAGAGCCCUUUAUUUUCAAGUAUUGUGCAGAUCAGAUCAUAAGGAAGUGUGUCCUUGAAGAAGAGCAACAAGGAAUCCUCAGCCAUUGCCAUGAGAAUGCAUGUGGAGGCCACUUUGCCUCUCAGAAAAUAGCCAUGAAGGUGUUGCAAUCAGGGUUUACUUGGCCAUCACUUUUCAAAGAUUCCCACAUCAUGUGUAGGAGUUGUGAUAGAUGCCAAAGGCUUGGGAAGCUUACAAAAAGAAAUCAAAUGCCCAUGAACCUCAUCCUAAUAGUUGAUCUUUUUUAUGUUUGGGGUAUUGACUUCAUGAGACCUUUCCCAAUGUCUUUUGGUAACUCUUAUAUAUUGGUGGGGGUGGACUAUGUUUCUAAAUGGGUUGAGGCAAUCCCCUGUAAACACAAUGAUCACAGGGUGGUUAUCAAAUUUCUUAAGGAGAACAUCUUCUCAAGAUUUGGGGUACCCAAGGCCAUAAUCAGUGAUGGAAGUACUCAUUUUUGCAACAAACCUUUUGAAACCCUAUUAGCCAAGUAUGGAGUGAAGCAUAAGGUAGCUACACCUUAUCACCCUCAAACUUCCAGGCAAGUGGAGUUAGCAAACAGGGAAAUCAAGAGCAUAUUGAUGAAAAUGGUGAUUACAAGCAGAAAAGAUUGGUCUAUUAAGCUUCACGAUUCAUUAUGGGCAUAUAGAACAACUUAUAAGACUAUUCUUGGCAUGUCUCCCUAUCGUCUAGUCUAUGACAAAGCAUGUCAUCUCCUUGUGGAAGUUGAAUAUAAGGCUUGGUGGGCAAUCAAGAGGUUGAACAUGGACUUGAUCAGAGCCGAGGCAAAGAGGUGCUUAGACCUUAAUGAGAUGGAGGAAUUAAGAAAUGAUGCUUACAUCAAUUCCAAAGUUGCAAAACAGAGGAUGAAGAGGUGGCAUGAUCAACUAAUCUCCAACAAAGAAUUCCAAAAAGGACAAAGAGUCUUACUCUAUGACUCAAGGCUCCAUAUCUUUCCCGGGAAGCUCAAGUCAAGGUGGAUAGGUCCUUUCAUUAUUCACCAAGUGCAUCUCAAUGGAGUGGUGGAAUUACUGAAUUCCAAUGGCACAUACAUCUUUAAAGUCAAUGGUCAUUGUCUCAAGCCAUUCAUUGAGUCAUUCAAGCAAUAAAAUGAGGAAAUCAACCUCCUUGAGCCACAAAAAGCCUGAUCAGAGAAGGGUUAGAUGGACUUGGUUUCACCAAAGUCCAUAUUUUUGUUUAAUUAUGUUAAUUUAUAAACUUUGUAAAUUGUUUUGAUUUUAAUUUUGGUCUUAAAUCGUGUUAAUUAUAUGUAACUUAAUCUUUUUGAAUGAUCAAAAUUAGGAGGAAUUGCAAGGAAAUUGAAAGUAGGAAGCUAGGAAUCAAGAGGAACUCAAAAACAAGGAGAAAGCAUGGUUUGCGAAAUUUUGUAGCCUAAAGUGGGCCCCUGCGAAAAUCACAUCCCACUACGAAAAAAUUUCGCAGCCCUCAGGAGCCGCUGCGAAAAUCCCCCCAUUGCUGCGAAAAUCGAUUCUCGUUGCAAAAUAGUUUCGCAGCCGCCUAGCGCCCUCUGCGAAAAUUUUUGCAGGUGCGGAGAGACCCCUUAUCACACGAGUGCCAUUUUGCAGCCAAGUACACCCGUUUCGUAGCUGUGAAAUGGUUGCAAAAUCUCCACGCCUUGAAAUCCUCCAUUUCGUAGCCGAGACACCAUUUCGAAGAGUGUUUCGCAGCUGCGAAACCACCCUUUGGCACACGAGUGCCAUUUCGCAGCGUUGUACGCCCGUUUCGCAACUAUGAAAUGGGCUGCGAAAAUGAUGCCGAAAUUCCCCUCACUGCGAAAACGCCCAGCCGCUGCAAAAUCCACAUCCCCUCGCUGCGAAAAGUCCUGUCUACUGCGAAAAGGAAUAGUGACCCUUGGUGUCCCUUUUAAACGGUAUAAAUUCCAUUUUUCCUAUUCUAAACGGUCAUUUGAACUUCAACAAAGUACCAAGAGGAGCCAAGCCAGAGCACCCUGCCGUCUGCCUCCUCCGCCUGAGCAAGCUGCGCGCAUCUUCGGCCAUUUUCGCUGAUACCGCCAUGGCCAAAACUCGAGGAGCUAAGUCUUCGUCCCCAUCGACUCGCCUGAGAAUCCCAAGAGACACGCCUGUCCAAGAUUCCACCUCUGAGCUGCCACGGCCUCGCCUCGUCCCACCUCCGGUCCAGGACGCACCUACCAGUCCUCCGCCCAGGCGCUAUAAUACAAGGAGAUCACUUACCAUCAUCGGUGUGAGUUCUUCCAGAGGCCAAAAAUCAAGUACCGAUCCCUAAAAGAAGAAAGCCAAGGUCUCUGAGCCAAUUGAUUUGACAGAGUCAUCUUCAGAGCCUAAAUCAGAGCCUACGCCAUCUCCACCGCCUGCCAAAAAGUCUCCACCACCUGCCAAGAAGCCUCAGCUAUCUCAGACACCAGCAAGAGAAUCUCAAAUUCCCUCAGGCAUGACUCCUGAGGUAGCUAUCAAACGCCCCAUGGUCAUACAACCGCCAAUUGAAGGAAAUUUGGAUUGCAGAGCAAGGCCAUUCCACUCUGAGCUCUGUUUUGACAUAGCCACCUUCAGAAUUCAGCCUGAGCUCAGGGAGUCCUUUCGUCUGCUACAGAGGUAUCAUAUGGAGCAUUUGCUGACUCCUAGGGAUUUUUUUAUCCCUGUGUGGCAUUGGACUUCUAUUAGUCCAUGACCACAAACCAGGUCCGAGAUCCUACAGUCAUCCAUUUUACCAUAGACGGACGACAUGGUAUUUUGGGAGCUCGACAUAUAGCAGAGGCACUCAAUAUCCCCUAUGAGCCAGCACGUCCAGAGGAUUUUCGAGCUUGGACUCAUCCUUCACAGAGUAACAUCGUUCAUACUCUGUCCAGAGGAGCAUCCUCACGCCAUUACAUCCUGAGGAAGGAGCUUCCCCCAAGCAUGUUCUUCAUUGAUGCACUCCUCCGCCAUAACAUUUUCCCACUUCAGCAUUGGGUGCAGAGGAGAGGAGUUUUGCUGGAGGCAUUGUAUAGGAUCUCUGAGGGAUACUUCUUUGGCCCUCACCAUCUCAUCAUGGCUGCUCUUCUAUACUUUGAAGAGAAGGUGCAUCGAAAGAAGCUGCUCCGAGCGGAUGCCAUUCCACUCCUCUUUCCCAGACUAUUAUGCCAUAUAUUGGAGCACUUGUGAUACCUAGUAGAGCCUCAGCAUGAGCGUAGACAUAUUUGUCGAGAGAUUUUCACUCUCGACAAAUGGACCAGUAUGACAGCUUAUGAUGGUGUAGACUAAGGAGCACCAGCUGGACCAUAUCAUCCAGAGCAGCCAGAGGAGCCAGUUGACAUACUUGCUGACACUCAGCCACUUGCCCCUGCAGUGGCCCCUACAGAGCAUAUACCAUAGGUUGCAUCCUCUGCUCCUCAGGCCACACCACAGCCUCCCCCUGUUAUUCCACCUAUUUCAGAGUCAUCUCCUUCAGUUGAGCUAAGGAUAACUAUACCCAUUAUCGAGUAUAGAGGCCUAUGCCACACUUUUCAGGCAUUGGCCACUUCUCAGAGCAUCCUCACUCAGCAGAUGACAACCCUUCGUGCUCAUCAGGAGCAGAUUAUUGCCACUUAGGUCCAGCACACUGCCAUCCUAAGGCAGAUUCAACACCAUCUCGGCAUUAUAUUAGCUCCUGAGCAUGCCAUUCCUAGCCCACCAGAGCCAUCACAGGCCCCUUCUUUCAUGCAUGAGACUAUGCCUCCUGAGGAGCCCACUACAGGAGAGGUAGGGGCAGCUGAGCCAUCAUCUCCACAGCAUCCUCCACCCACCAACUGAUCAUUUUGAUAGUUUCUUUUAUAUAUAUUUCGAUUAUGUAUUUCGUUUAUGUAUUUCCUUAUCAUAGUAGCACUUGAAAUCCCAUGCUUUUGAUAUUAUAUACUGGGAUUACUUGUAUUAUUUGCUUUCAUUUUGUACUCACAUGAAUUAAAGUAAUACAAAUCUAUCACUUUUUGAUCACUCUUAGCAUUAUUUUAUUCUUAUUUCCUCUACUCAUAUCUUUUAUUCUUUUUGAAACAUGUGGUUUCUCCAAUCAAUACUCGAAAUUGAUAUCACUCAAGAGGUACCACUUCCUCCCUAUAAUCUUAAUCGCUCAUGCCACAUUGAGGACAAUGUUCAGCUUGGUUGGGGGGAGAGUUGAGGAAGGAAGUUUUUUGUUAUUUAUGCUAAGUUAUUUUGGUAAUUUAGUUUAUUUUUGGUUUAAUUUUAAAAUUUUUUAAAGUUUUUAUUCUAAUCUCCAUGGUUCCUAAGGAAAAAUUUUCAAAUUAAAAUGGGAGAAAUUGAAUUUUUGUUUUUCAUUUGACUUAGAGUUUGUAUUAUGCUUACUAAAGUUGAUGAAUUGUUGAAACUUCUAUUGAAUUCAAGCUUAGUUCUUCCACUUUAAUCUAUUCACACACUAUGCACAAUAGGUUCCGAUUAUAAGAUGAGAAACUAUUUCCUCUUGACUUGGGAAAAUUUUAGACUUGGUACCUUUGACCUCAUUUAAUAGUGUUGGGACACCUUAUAAAAGGCCAAUGAGUCUUUGAAGAAAAAAAAAGAGAAAGAAAGAAAAAUGUUUGCUUGCCUUGAAACCCGAGCAAGGUCUGAGGGGUAUAUGGUGAAAAUCUUUAAAACCUGGUGCCCUAAGCCUUCAUUGGUUGGGAGUCACUGACCUCAACGCUCGUUACAAGGGUGAAUAGGUGGAGUUUAACAUGUUGUAGGUGCUUGGGUAUAAAAUUUCAUUCUCAAAAGUCUGGGGUAAAAUCCGAGGAGUUAGUGGUUGAAAGAUCCUUAAAGCUUGAUGCCCUAAACCUUAAUUGGUUGGGAGUCAUCGAGACAUGGACAAUUUAGAAAAGAAUACCUUUAAGCCUUGUACUCCUACAAUGAAAAAAAAUGGUGAAACAAAAGGGUACGUUCUUAGCCUAUUGAAUUUGGUCAGUUUGCUAAGUGUUGAAAAAGAACUAGGUUGGGGGAGAGAUUAGUUUAGCAUACUAUAUUCGGAAACUAUCAACUAACACUUAGACUUUUGUGGAAAUGAUUUUAAAGCUUCAAUUUGCAUAAUGCCUUCUCUUUAUGAAUUGUGUUUAGCAAAGUAUUUGAUAACUCUUGUUGAAAUUUGAGUUUAUAUUUCUUUAAUGUUCCAUGUGAGAGUUUGAUCAUCAUGCCACUUAAAAUUUUUUGGAAGUGAUACGCAUAAUCUUGUAAAGUAUAUUACUUUUUAGUACUUUCUCUCUCUUUUUUUUGCUAAAGGACUAGCAAUAUGUCGGUUGGGGGCAGUGAUUACUACUCAAAAAGUGCUAUUUGAUGAAUUUAGCAAAAAGCAGUCUUUUAGACCUAGUUUGACAACUUCCACAGGUUUGUCCUUGAGGAUGAUACCUGGAGUACUACAAAUGUCGUAAAGACUCAUUCUUUGAUUUUUCUUAGCUAGAGUUGCUACGUAAUAUACAAAAGACCUUUUUUUUUGUUUUGUUUUCUCUUUUUCAAAACAACGUCAUUUUGAUGCAUUUUGCAUUGAAACAACGUCGUUUUAUCCCUUAAACCCACCCCCUUCCCUUCUGCCUAGGCAUCGCUACUCUGUGCCACUGUCACUCCCUUUCAACUCUAGUCCCACGACGUCACCGACCUGGCAAUGACAUCAUCUCGGCGACACCAUCCCUACCAUAAGUUGUAACAUUGAAACUUUCCAUACUUUUGAAACUUUUAAAGUUUUAAUAUAGAAAUAUCAAAGUCUAUGACUAAAUUUUUUGCUAUAAUUUUGUGAAUUUUAAAUUUGAUCAUUAAAUUAUUCAAAGAAAUCUUGAUCUUUGAAUUGCUUUAUAUACAUAUAAGUAUGUUAUUAAUUGAGAAUACCAAUUAUAUACAUAUAAGUUAAUUUGUCAUUGAUUGAAAUGGAGAUAUGUGAUAAAGAAAAGUUGUUUUUUUAGUAUCAUAGUUAAAUUAAAAAAUAAUAAUAAUAAGAUAGUGAAUUAGUGAUUCAAUAAUAUAUGAAUAUUUCAAUCUUAGCAUUUUAUAAGUGUGGUUAAAUAUGAACUAUAGAAUAAAAAUACAAAGAAAUAAUAUUUAAAUACAAAAACACAAGAUUAUAAGUCUUUCACUCACAUUUUUAUAUUUUUAUUUUUAUUUAUUUUAUUAGUUUAUUUCCAUUAUUAUUUAUUUUAAUUUUACAAUUGUAAAUUUUAAAAUUUUAUGAUUUUUAAAAUGUAUAAUUUUAAUUUUAAUUAAUGAAAACAUUGUAAUUUUAAAUAAAUUUUUGAAUACAUUUUGUUACUUAGAAUUUAUCAUUUUUAUUUCUAAAAUUAUUUUAAUUUUAAUAAUAUAUAAAAUAUAUAUUUAUAAUAUCACAUGUUCGACCGCCAAUCCAACCAAUGAAUUGUGAAUCGAUAAUUUUUUUGGUUCAAUGACUAGUCUGAUUCUAAAAACAUUGAAAUUAAUUGUGAAAGGAAGACCAUUGAAAGUUGAAACUCCAUUGUGGGCCCUUAUCCCACCAUUGAUAGCUGCUAAGAUCUGCCAAACUUAAUUAGAAAUGGUGAGGGGUUUUGAAAGUUGGAGAAAGCGAUGGGAUUGAGUUUGAAUUUUCAAGAGACAGCAAGCUCUGCUUCACCUAUUAACAUUUAAACCCAAUUUCUCAAUUAAAAUAAAAUAAAAUAAAAUAAAAUAAAAUUUUAAAAAUUUUAUAUGCAAGUUAGAUGAAAAAUAAUUUAUCAUAUAUUAGUAAAAUUGUCAUUAAAAAAGAAUGAAUAUGACUAAGAUAGACUAAGAUAAGUUUUUUUUUUCCACAUUUUGUUCUCUUAUUUUUGAAGUAAAUUUAUAAUUUAUUUAAUGAAUUCUUACUAACAAAACCAAUCAAAUAAUAUAAAAAUCACUUAAUUCAAUAAGAAAUGAAUUUACAAUAUAAAGUUCCAAAAUCCAAACCGAGAUUUAACUACAUGGUAUCAUAACUCAUUCAAUUUUCAAUAAAAUUGUAAUAAAAAAAUGUACCAUAAAUGAAUUUAUUACAAAAUUUUAAAUUUAGCUCCUUAUAAUACAAUAAAAUCAAAAGAAAUCAAUUCUCAUCAAUUUUAAUGAAUUUUCUCUAAUUAAAACUCUAUAAUUCAAGUGCAUUUAAAUAUCCACUGGAGUUAAUAAUUUUAAUUAAUUUUAAAAAAUCCUAAAUUAAUUUUAAAAAAUCAAAAGUUAGGAGGUGAUGUCUUUCCCUAAAUUAAAAAUCCAAACAUUAAAGAAUUAAUCCGAAUAAUCAAACAUAUGUUUCAAUCACAAAUUCAUAAAUUUAAAGAUGUAUCACAUAAAACUGCUAAGUAAUUAAUACAACUUAAUUUAGAAAAUUUUCAACACUUUAUUAGUAAUCAAACAUAAUUAAAGAAACCCUAACCAUCAAUUAAUUAUCAAUUUCUUAACCAACUAUAUAAUUAAUUAUUAUAAACUUUUGUUAUUAUAAUAAAUGAAGUAUUUAAAAUAUGUUAAAUUACUUUUUUUUUUCAAAUGAUUAGUUUUCGAAUAUUUGUAUUUGAAUUACAUAAAAUGAGAUGACACAUAAUCAUUGAAUCUUAGUGGUUAUUUUUAGCAUAUAAAAAUAAAUAGAUUUAAAUAAUUUUUAAAUAUAUUAAAUUAUUAUUUUUUUAAAUGAUUAAUUUUCAAAUAUCUUUAUUUCAAUUAUAUAAAAUUAGAAGAAACAUAAUUAUUAAUAUCAUUAUAGGGUGUUUUUAGCAUAUAAAAAUAAAUAAAUUUAACAGCUAGUGACGUUCUAAUAUCAAUAAAUUAUAGAACUUUAGUGUUUAACAGUAUUAAAAUAUAUAAAAGGUGUAAUCUCGAAAGGACAAUAGUCCAAUGUUUUCAAAGUUGAGUUGGUCCUUCAAUCAUAAAUAUUACUGAAUUAUGUAUAAUAUAUAAUACCAUGCAAUAUCAUAAAUAUAUAAUUUAUAUUUUUAAAAAAUAAUAUAUAUAACAUUAUAAAACUUAAUAAUAUUUCAUCUUUUAUAUUUAUUUAGUAUUAUCAUAUUAAAUUAAGAAUGAAUAUAAAUAUAUUAAAAAUAUUAUUAAGUAAGACAUGCAUAAUAUUUAAAUAUGAAAAUAUAUUCAACCUUCAAAAUCAUACCAAAAUGAAAUAGGGAGAAUUACCCUUAAGGGUAGGCUGGGGAAAAAAAUUACCAAGAAGGGUGGGUAAAUUUGAUAAUUCUUCUGAAGGCCUGACAUUUUUAUUAGACCAAUUUACCCUCAAUUAAAUUCUAAAAUUAUAAUUUAUAACGAAUAAAAGAAUUGAAAAAAAAAAAAAGACUAUCGUUCCAAUGUCUUCCCUUUCGCAUCUUCUCGUCAAAGCUUCCCUUUCGCAUGAUCUGGGUGGCUGCAUUUCCUACCCCUUUAGAAAAGCCUUGUCCUCAAGGCUAAAAUAGAGGAAACUUUUGUUGCAACUUAAAUGCAUGCUCCCACGUUGCAACUUACAGAAAGGAAUUUGACCAUUGAACCAGCCAUUGUGUCACCAGACGAUUAUUCCAUUUGGAUCUGCCUCUGGAAGUCCGCGGGAGACACCACUGGAUCUCCAACAACAUGGCGAUCCUCCGAUCCUAGAUCCGAUCUCACUGAAUAAUCCUUGGGAAGCACAUCUGGAACCAUGGGUGGAGGCGUUGGAUCCUACAAUUUCACGGGGGAGGGGGGGCGGAGCGAGCCCUUUAUCCAACCCAAACAGAAAAUCCGGAUUGGUCUCGGAGGCCGCCGCCUGAGGUGAAGAACCUUCCAGAGGCUGGAUCUGCACA